CAUAGAUUGCCAGGAUUACAUUUCUGCACACAUCCUUUCCAGGAAGAUCAGGCCCCAAGUGAUUGAUGCGGAUCCUUCCAAAGAGAAGAAAAAGCCUAAAGAAAGCGCUGGCUAAUAUUCCGUCUCUUUUGGAGUUGAAACGGUUAUACUAUGACUCAUGAUACGAUUUACUUGAUGGAUUUGAACUCGCAUCUCGGUAUAUCUCGCAUUUAUGUGGUUAACGAUGUAGAUAUAAAUGAUUACCUUGAGAUUUGUUGAUACUGUAAGGCGAUAUAUGAGAUUCCAUCAGUGAAGGGCAAUCCAGAGCAGUGGAUACCGGUGAAGCUCUUUCCUUGUUAAGUCUUUACUGAGCUUUUCAAGGCACAGCUGUUCAUUCUAUGAUUUAAUCAAAUGCGGGUUCUAAGGAAAAUCUGCUGGUACUUAGUUCUAUCACCACAUGAUCCUGGGCAGUUGAGCCUCCUUAAUGCCACUUUAGAGAAUAAACAUAUCUCAGAAAUUCCCAUUCCAUCUUUGAUUUGUUCUAGGUUGCUGCUGAAACAAUUGGUCAUGGUGGAGGUUAUCCAAUGGACACCUCUUUAAAGUACUUUCAAAAAUGAAUUUGAGAAUGAGAAAACGUGCUAGGAGGUGCACUUGUUGAGAAGGCAGCAGAAAAUCUUUGAUAGGGCCCAAUCAUAGUCAAAAGAAGAAUUUUGGCUUCUCCUAGGUGAGACAAGCUACCUUUAGCUAGGAGCCUUUCAGAGAAUCAUCGAACAUGUAAUUACAGUACUUGUCGUUUUUAUUCUUUUAAUUGGAUCAUCACUCAUAUGUGACUCACUCUAUUUUCUACAGAAUAUUAUUUGUCGUUUUGAAGUAUUGCUGGAGGAUUACCCUAAAGAGACUUGCAGAGCUGUUAUGCCUCAGAAUCCCGGUCUAAUUACAUGGAACAAUUGUUUAUGUUCAUUAUCCAUGUCACUCUUUAUGAAUGAUUGCGUAGACCC